rnacentral:lncRNA from 1 species
CCUCAGCCAAACUUUAAUUCCUUUGAGCAACAGGCUGGUGCUUCUUAGAGGGGCUCUUCCCAUCAGUAGGAGUCAUGAGUGGCAUUCGGCAGCUUCUUUGGUGACCAGCUACAUCCUUUGGCAGUAGGCUUAAGUGCUCACCAUUGCACUGAGUGAAGAGCAUGCUGAACGGUGAUGUUCCAGUUUAAAAGGACAGCGCUGCAAACAAAGACUAUCAACUUGUAGAAAACAAGAAUGAUUUACCUUUUCUUACCAAUGAGGAAACAAACAUGCUACCAUCUGGGAAAAUGGGAAGACCAUGGACUUUCGCAUUAGGCAGAACGUGUGUCAGUGUUUUAUUUGCUUCACGUUAUGUAACCUCUUGAGACUUUAAUAUCUUUAUCUAUUAAAUGGGUUAAUAAUGUGUCCCUACCAGGGUGACUGAGGUUAGAAUUAACAUUUAUAAAGUACGUAGCCUAGUGCCUAGUGCAUCAGAGGCUCCUAAUAAAUGUCAAGCUGCUGAUGGCAUUGAUCAGAUGACAAGUAUCUUUGGAAAGAACAAAAAUCGAUCAGCUGAAAAUAGAUUAUUAUUGUAUUUCAUGAGAGUGAAUUAGGACCAUAUGUGUGUAUUUUUGAGAUUGAACAUUGUUAUGUUUUUAAGAAAAAUGUAGUUUUCUCAUUUGGAAUAAAAAUGACAUUCUGGGUGUCCUUGAUUUGACAGUGAGCUCUUUGAGAACAGUUUGCUGUUAAAGGAAAGAAGCAAGACACAUGGCUUAGAUUUAUCUUUGAAAUACACAAUGCAACUUUUAAAUGAAGGGGAAAAAUGCUUGGGGCAAAAUGUGUUUUUGUUUGUUUUUUUUUAAAGACUAAACACCAUGCACUUCUCCCACUCUUUCCCAUAUGCACCUAGUGUAUACUUGGGUUGACAGAUCAGGGCAGGGCAGGCCUGCGUCAAUUAGCUGAGCCCUUAUUUCAUUGCGUUUGUUGUUUAAGCCAUCAUGUUGGGUCAACAACUGUGAACACCAGGAGUUGCUGACUUCCAGGAAGUCAUCUUAGAUGAGAUGAGGAGAAUACGACUAGGAUUUUCUUGCCUAAACUGCCUUUUAUGUAUCAACCAACUGUGGGGAUUACAUGUGAUCAUUGCUCUUAUCUGCUUUGUGGAGUAUCUGAGAAAAAAUAAACAGAUGAGGCAGUUUCC